AUGGCUCAGGAUGAACGCUGGCGGCGUGCUUAACACAUGCAAGUCGAACGGAGAUGUACGCUGAUGCGGCUUCGGCCAAAUCUUGUGCAUCUCAGUGGCGGACGGGUGAGUAACGCGUGGGUAACCUGCCUGUAACAGGGGGAUAACGAUUGGAAACGAUCGCUAAUACCGCAUAACCCGCUAGAGUCGCAUGACUCAGACGGAAAAGAUUUAUCGGUUACAGAUGGACCCGCGUCUGAUUAGAUAGUUGGUGGGGUAACGGCCUACCAAGUCGACGAUCAGUAGCCGAACUGAGAGGUUGACCGGCCACAUUGGGACUGAGACACGGCCCAAACUCCUACGGGAGGCAGCAGUGGGGAAUAUUGCACAAUGGGGGAAACCCUGAUGCAGCGACGCCGCGUGAGUGAUGAAGUAUUUCGGUAUGUAAAGCUCUAUCAAUGGGGAAGAAGAUGACGGUACCCAUAUAAGAAGCCCCGGCUAACUACGUGCCAGCCGCGGC
rnacentral:rRNA from 1 species